UACGUAGGGUGCGAGCGUUAAUCGGAAUUACUGGGCGUAAAGUGUGCGCAGGCGGCCGCGCAAGUCGGGUGUGAAAGCCCCGGGCUUAACUUGGGAAUUGCGCUCGAAACUACGUGGCUGGAGUGUGGCAGAGGAAGGUGGAAUUCCGGGUGUAGUGGUGGAAUACGUAGAUAUCCGGAGGAACACCAGCGGCGAAGGCGGCUUUCUGGUCUGAUACUGACGCUGAGGCGCGAAAGCGUGGGGAGCGAUCCGG
rnacentral:rRNA from 1 species